CAGUUUGGGGGAUUCAGAUGUGAAAUCUGUCUAAAAAAAAAGCAUCUUCUUUUUCUAAGCAAGCCUUCCCUGCUUGGCAGAUUGGGAAUUUUACCCUCUCUGGUGGGAGCUGCAGUGUCUGAUUGCUACCUGACUAAGUAGGAGCUCCACAAGGCCACCUUUACACUGAACAAUCUCAUACAUCAGGGGCCAUUCGAAUUCAAUGGCUUUACUAGUGCUAAAAUAGGAUAUUGGAAACUUAGUCUUAAAUCACACCUUUCAGGUAAUAAGCAGCAAUGAAUGGGAGAGAAAAGGAAGAGGGAGGCUUAUAGGAUUUAAGGAGUUUCUUUUGAAAAAGGAUCCCACCCUGCUGCUGAUGGGCAGACGCUCAUGUGUGUGUUAAGAUGUGCAAAUAAAGCAGGGUAUAAAGCUGUUAGCAGUGGUUCAGAGCAACAGACUAACUCCUGUCAAGGAAAAGCAGGUUAGGUAAACUUUUCAGGUGUUUGGAGGUGAAUCGUUUCAUUCAUGCACAGCCCUUGUUUGACCCAACUAUUUCACAUCAUUACCAAUUGCUUUGUUCGUACAUAUCAAACUUCCCUCUUGUGCUUUAUUGGUUUCUGCUCUUGCUGACCCCUUCCAGCAGUUUACUUUCUAACAUCCUGAAAGCUCCAUCAUGACUGUUCAGCACACCUCACCGAGGGCUGAGAUUAAAAGUUAAAAAAGAGAAAGACUGAACACAACAGGAGAGAAAAGAGAAGAGCUUAUGGCAGCAGCCUGGUGACACUCUGGGGAGAGUGAAAUGGGAUGAGUAACCACCCGGAAUAAUGGCAGAAGGGAAAAAUGAGAGAAGAAACUACAACAGCAGGGCCUGAGUGAGAGAAUCAGUAGGAACAUCAAGCUGAGCAGACCUGGGAAUGGGAGGAAGGUAAAGUCUAUCUAUUUGUCUCAGCAUUCUGUUCCAAAGACAGACAUCGAGCCCUGUUAAGAUAGAAAAUAGGAUCAUUUAGUUUACAACACUGGGCCCAGAUAUCUUGUAUUCAAUGGGCUUCUCUCCUGGACUAAAAGUCUGCUCAAGUCUAAGGAAUAAGAGCAGUCCCAGGGAAAUCUGCAGUGAGGACAGGCAGAGGAGAAGGUGGGAAUCGAAAGAGGGGGAGAGCAGAUUGUGUCAGACCCACCUUCAGUGGCUGCAGGACACUGAUGCAGCUCGGCCAACACAGCACCAACAUCCUCCCUCCACAGGGGCUACAGAGCUGCUUUUGUACCCCCUCUCUGCUCACAAGACUACAGGGGACAGAGGGGAGGUCAGAGGACAUCAGCCUGGCAGAGGCUCACUCUGGCUGAGCCCAGGACCCUCUGCCUCCUCUAUCCUAGGAACUCCCAGCAGAGUUAUGUUUAGGCUGAUCAUUACUGCUGUUGGUGGAGAAUAAACAUUUUAUUCAACAUAGGGAGGCUGAGAUUUGGGAGCCUGGCUCUGUUCUGGAUGGAGUGACAAUGGAAACAUUCAGUACUAAUGCCAGGAAACAUCAUAAGAUUUAUUUCGUGUCAAUAAAAGAAAGAAAUGUUUUGACAAAACCAGAAUAUUUUGCUGGAGUUUAUAUAUUUUCUUAAUAAUUCUCUAUUAUAUGAUAGAAAAUUAAAAUGAUAAGUUAAAUAUUGUUGUGUCCCCUGAAAAAGUUGGCAUGGGUUCUUUAGCACAGUCAGAACCUUCCAGUUUUCCUCCAAAAAAGAAGCAGUGUCAAAAUCAGUUUGAUGUUAUGAAGUGUCUCAGUGUUGAUGGAAGCACCAAACUAAUAGUCAGGAUAUGUAUGGCUAUCUCUAACUCUGCAAAGAACCUGACCUCCAGGUGCUCAUCUCAAUUUGCAAAAUUCAGACUUUGCUUUAAGUUUACGGUGCCAUGAAACAACAUAAAGCUCGGUGAUUCUUGGAUUAGGUUUUGACAAAUAAAAGAAAAACAGUGGGAUGUAAUGUUAAAGCAGAAGGAACUCCAGGAAAGAGCAACUGGAGGUCUAGGUAAAAAUACUGACUAUGUGGCUGCAACUGCAGAAUAUUCAGGCUGUAUGAAGUCUCUAACAAAAGAUAUUAUAUAAACUUAAAAAAAAAAGUUUAUUUGAAUUAAAAAAGAGUAUUUGACCUGCAUUCUUUUUCUCAUUAAGUAUAUCUUUUCUGUGUACAUUCUGCCUUUUCUUUUUAAUGCUAAUGAAGAAUUAAAUUGUUACAUUUACAGACUAAUGACCCUCAUCAAGAUUAUUUUAACAAUUCCUUCCCAGCUGUUCUAAGUCCUGUUUUCAUGUUUAAGUGACACAGACAGUUUUAGCUUCCAUGUCUGCCUUUGGUAUCUCUACCAAGUGUAGAUUUGAGAAAUGCACUGCCAUGUCCCAGGGUACAUAAAGCUUCACUUUGGUGUCCUUGACAUCUUUGGUCCUUUUUGUGGCUAUCUCAUAAUUCAUGCAAGUGAUGCCAUACAACUGUAAGUUUUUCAUGAGGUCAUAAAACUGAUUUAUAGAGGUUUUCCCAUAAUCUCCAAGCAAAUUAAAGAAGGUUGAUGGAGCUAUGCAACUCACUGUUGCCUCAACAAUGGUCUCAUUCAGAAAUGACACUGAACAAGAUUGAGGUAUUAAGAUAUCAAGAAUGUCCUUAAGAAGCCUUGUCUGUCUGUAAAAAAUAUGAUGCCUACAAACCAAGAAGGGCUGUUUCUUCUAUACACUGAGUUGAUUUUACUCAUGACAUCUACCUUAAGAUUAGUCAGAUAGCUUCUUCCUUUGCUUUCUGCUUACAAAUGGAAAAGUCUGAUUAAUCCAUUGAAGAUCAGCACUUGAAAAAAUAAUUUGAGGUUAAUCUGCUUUCCCUUCUAAGAUAGUUGAAGUUUUAGAUUAUCCAUUUUAGAAACGGUGUUUUAUUUUGCUUUUCAGCUUUUGAAAUAAUUUUACAAUAAAGGAAACAUUCCAAUAGAGGAAAAUUUUAAUUCCAAAAGGAAAAGAUAUUUAUAUAUACAUAUAUAUUUACACACAUAUAUAUAAACAAUAUACAUCAAACUAUAUAUUUGUAUAUUUAAAACUAUGGGGUUUUUUUAUAUAAAGUAUUUAAAACAUGCAUACAUAAAAACUGAACACAAACCUCAAGUUACUCUAUUUCCAAACUUUUAAAAGUGGACAUUUCAGAAUUGUGGGAACUUUAUUCUUCCAUCUUUAUUUCUGAAGCUGUUUGUGAAGCACUUGCAUUUUGACAGAACUAUAUAGUCCAAGAAAAUGAGCUUUCACUAAACUGCCUCCAACUUCAAUAUAUGCCCUGUGUCAAACAGAGAAAGCUUGGAUGUAGUUCCAACCUCUGUGGCUGGGGCUGAGUGCCAAUUACACUGCACCCAAUGGCCUAUAACUGUCUUUUUUGCUUCUGUGAAUAUCACUUUUCUAGUUAAAACCUUCAGGACAGCUUGCAAAUUAUUUGCUACUAUUGCUCUGGAGUUGAAAGUAACCUUGAAAACAUUUCUCCAUGGUUGUAAUCGAGGUGAUUCUUCCAUCCUUUCUCAAAAAUGGCAGCAUAUCGCUCCUCUUUUUUCCUCCUCAAACUCUCCCCAGCAGGUUUCUAAAGAACUUUUUGAGGUAGGUGCUAUCCUUUUGAUUUUCUUAUUAUUUGAAUAUUUCAUCUCAAACUUCACAGGGAGAUGACUAUCUCCCAAGUGCAUGAAACCAGCCAGGAGUGUUUUAUAUUUAUGUUCUAAAACAUUUGAUGCAAUCUGUGCUGUGAUUAUAAAUAAAUAAAUAAAUAAAUAAAUAAAUUCUUUUUAAAAUCACCUUUUUAUUGGAACGAGUGGGCCUUUUAGAGCAACAACACCAAAAAGUUCAUACACAAACUAAGAGAGUUCUAAAGGUGAGAAAUCCAGGAACUGUAAAGAGUAUUUGAAAUACAAACCAGCAAAUAUAAACAUUAGGCUUAUUAGUUUUAUUAUUAGAAUGAAGAAUUGAUUGUUAGAAUGAUUUCUUGAGUAAUUUAAAGGUGCUAAUAAAAAUAUUGUGCCAUAAUCUGAUUACACUGUUUUGUAAAUUAGAACUAGACAAUGUGAGUUCACUGAAAGGGAGAUGGCAUCAACCUUGCCAUGUUCAGGCACAGUACAAAGAGAUUUAAGUAUUUAAAUAAAAGACAUCUUCUGUGACACACAUUACAGAACUAUAUUUCAAGGCAAUGCUGGCUCAUGGCCAGUGUAUUGCAACAGGCUGUAAAAGAAAGUAAUGAAAUCAUCAGAUACUGUGGCCUUGAAUUCUAUUUUCUGUUUACAUGAUAUUAAACCCUUAUUAAUAUAAUCAUCCUUGUUAUUGUUCUAGUGUUGUAGUUUUGUCAUGAUAUUCCUUAAAGCCUCAGCUGCUGGAAUCAGGUGAUCAUCAGUACUCUCCGUAACGUGCCUCCAACAGAAGCUAUGGAUCAAGCGUGCUUCCAGACCAAAGGCACUCAGUCCUCCAGCUCCGAGCGCCGCGCUGCCAUUUCCCCUCCAUUUGUUUCUAUGGAGCUGCCGGUGUGUGCGGUCAUCCAUAAGGGUGCUGAGAUACCCUGGAGAGAGGAGGAAUAGCUGCAGCUAUUUUUCAUUAUUAUAUACUUCACUUCGUAAUAAAUGAGAUCCAUAGCAUGUGAACACUGGUCUUGUAGAUCAUCAUAUCAGCGAGCACAAGGAACCUUAUGUGCCACAAAGCUAAAUAAAAUAAAGUAAGUAAGCCUGAGAAAAAUAGGCUGGGGAGGCAGCUGAGUGUUCAGGACUUCACAGUGCGUCCUCUCAGCCUGAGAAUGACCUUAGGACUUGAAGCAACUAGAGAAGAAAUAGUUGUAAAACAAUUAUGUCUGUGUGUAUGUCUGUCUGCCUUAUCUCCAUCUAUAUAUGUAGCAGAAAUGUACAGAUGUGCUCUUCCAUUGUCUUGCAGAUGUCUUUGGGAUAACAGAAAUCAGCAAACAAUUUGUGAUCCAAAAAAGAAACAGCAGCAGUACCAACAGGACUCCUUUCAAUGCUCGUGAUGAUGGUUUAAAGUGCUGACAGCACUGCCUCACCAUCCAUCUUGGGCACAACUCCUCCUUCUAGGUAGAGUUUCCUACCUUUCUCAGCCAAACAGAGAGAGACAAACCAAGUUUUUAGCUUGACAGUCCAAGAGGUGCAAAUUAUGUCAGUCUUCUGCUUCUUCCACCGUGUCUUUGCAGGCCUGAAUUCAGUUGCUUUCCCGUGGAAAUAAAGAAUGUCACCAUGAAUGUCCAUUGGCAAACUGGAUAAGAAAGAGUGUCACAGUGCAGGACAACCUAGAAGAUGACAGGUAUUUCCAGGCAUAGCAAUGAUGAGAUCAAAUUCCCCUCAACCUGCCUUGUUUGCUGAUCUUUUAAUCAGAUUCAACUUCACUGCAGCUACAGCACAAGGUUCCCUGACAAUGUAUGACAGCAUGUGACAGAAAAAAAUAUUUUUUUUUUUUUUGGCCAUUUGAUGCUAUUUCAGAUAAAUCUGAAGCCCCAGCAGCAGCUUAUAAAUCUACCAAACUAUUUUAGUAGAGGUUUUUAACUAUGUAUAAUUGAACUGGAGGGUUUGGGGUUUGUGUUCAUGUGUUUGUAGUGGAAUCCAAACAGGAAAGCUGGGAAAUGAUCUAAACCCUUUGAGGUUAACAUGCCAUGAAAGAGCAUCAACGACAGAAGAGGACAUUAUUAAAAAACAGCCAACCUCGCUCAAAAAGAACCACUGCGUGAAGCAAGAGCCCAAAGAACAACACCCAGGGCUGUUUUUGGUCCUGCAGGGAUAUGUAUUUCAUCCCCUGUCUUCAUCUCUCCAAAUUUCCUCUGAACUGCUUCUGAGCUGCAUGCUUGAGAAAUAAAAACACCAGCAACUACUGAAUGGGUCUUAUCAACCUUUUCCCUGCAAUCUACUUUGUAUUCCUCUCACACCCGUGCUCUUGCAGUGUCUUGGGGAAAUGCUUGGAUCAAAGAUAAGAGAGAACAAGGAAAGGAAUGAAGCAAGAAAUAAACAACAAAACAAAACCACCAUCCCCCAAACUUUUUGACGGAACUCCUCUGUGAACCCUGUGCAUGAUUACUGCAAAGCUAAAACUGCCUUCUUCUUCACCAGUACUUAAUUCCUGCUUUUAAAAUCAGGGUCCCUUUGAUCUUGAGAAUUGAAAUGAUCUGGAAAUGAAACAGCCAUUGCUUUGCAGAAAAUCUGGAGAGGGUCCCAGACAUGGCUUUUACCUGGAAGACUUCCAAAACAGGAUGAAAUCUCUCUAGUUUCAGAACAAAUUGCAAGACUUUUUUCUCUAUGUCUGGUCCAACUGUGGAACUCUAGUCCCGAUGUCUGCUGGUUCCCAAAGCACAGAUGUAAUAACCUCUGAGGUGAAAUGAGAACGUUAUUCCCCCAUCUUCUCCCCUGUGCCUCUCCUUCGAGGGCUGAGGGCUGGGAGAAUGUUAUUAAAGUGAAGGCUUAAAGUUUUGGGCGAACUCAAUUUGAGGAGACAGUAGGUUAUAACCUGGGCUAGAUCCAGCUGAGUGAAGGUUGGAGAGGACAGAGGACCAGGAGCAUCUGUGACAUCUGGAUCCUGUUGUAGGCUCAGAAAUAUCUGCCUGGCUUUACAUGACCUGGUCCCAGAGCCAAAAGGGCUGAGAAAUGUGGUUAAGAGACUGAAGCAGGCUUUGCCCCAGCAAAUGAGUCCCACUGAGAAAGCAAGACAUCAAUAUUUCUUCGAGUCUGUUUCUUUUAGUGAAUGUAUUUCCAUAUGUUGCAUUAAUAUUUCUUUUAUUGGGACUUGUAAGUCCAUCUGGUACUUGGAUUGUGAGGGCUUGAGCUGGCAGAUCCCUACACUGUGCUGCUGCACAGAGAUCUGGACAGCCCUUACGAGGAUGGGUAUGUGACUGGAUAGAGACAACGUCUCCUUAGCUGUCUUUUUAAUUGGAUAAACUUCUCAAAUCAAUCAAGAUAACCAGGUUACUUAUUGUCAGUUAGCUCUGUCAGUGCCAUUUUUUAAUAAUGCAAAAUGAGUAUGGGCUGAGUAUGAAGUAUAGCAGCCCACAGUAAAGAAACCUCUCUUGGACACUGCACACUGCAACAGCCCUGAUCUAGGAAGUGUAAAGGAUGCCUGAGCACCAAUAUUAAGCAGAAAAUGUGCUGAAAUAUCAUAGUUUUUCCAAGACAAUAAGAAUCACUUUCCUUUGCAUGUGUUAUUAAGGAACUGGGGAAUAAUUAUCUGCUUUAAUACAAGCUUUUUCCUUCUGCAUGAUUAACUUCACUGAUAUCAACAGAGAGCGUGAUGACUCUGAAAUGACAGCUCCUGGUAGCACGUUCUGGGAUUAGCAAAAACAGGUUGUCACUUUACCCCAGUUAGGAACAGUCAGUCGCUCUGUGCUGAGUGCUGGACAGAAGAGCCGGGUUCUGCACCAGACAUCUGACAGCCCAAGUGGGCAGCAGGUCCAGCCUCCUGCCAGGUGGCUCUCAGGUCGGGCGUGCAGGGCUCGCUGCUUCAACAGGAGACUCGAUUUUGCGAGGCAGCACAGUGUGAUUUCGGCUGUGCAGCCUCCAGACUGAAAGCACUCCGUCCUCCUUGUGCUAAACCAUGACCUGCUUUAGCCUGGAGAUCUCUGAGCAGCCCCGCUGCAAGGCACAAGGCUCUGUCUCUCCUGCUUUCACUGUUCUUUACAGCAGUGAACAAUGCACUGAGCUGAUUCUAAAAUAUUCUGUACUUUUGAAAUGCCCUGUCUCUGGCUGCUCAAUGUGCAAAGUGACAGCGCACACACCGUGGAGGGGAUGGAGGGAGAGGUAGGACAAACACGCCAGAGAGAACUCUGAGCGAUGGCACGAAACAACAAAAAAAUCCUUUCAUUCUUACUAGAGCUGUAAAAAGUCUGUCAUGGCUUCUGUAGAAAUUAAUCAAUAGAUGGAAAAUUGUGUAACAACUGUGGGGGAAACAGGAAUCUGUUUAUAAAUUAAAGAAAACUAUUGUGAGUUUCUAGAGCUCUCUGGGAAAAGCACUGGGGUGACUAGCCGGGCUCCGUGGAGCCAGGACAGAGUGCAUGGAAUGGGAUCCUUCAGUAAAGUCCAUAUUUUGUCAGUGUCAGGAUGCAUAGGAACUGUAAAACAAAGCAAAUUUUAUGCAUGGAAGCAAACUAAAAAUUUAGCCCUGCGCCAAAUUCCUUUGAAAAUUUCUUAAUAAUUUUUUAAAAAUGAUGAAGUGUCUGUAUAUUUUUAAAGAAAAAUAGGAGGUAAAAAGAUUAAUUCUCAAAAUCUGUGAAAUAUACAGUGAUGAGUUACCGAGGAUUGCAGUGUGGGGGGGUGUUUUUGUAAUUCUGUAGGCAUCUCAGUCCUCUGGUGAAAUGAUGUAUGGGGCAAUCGUCUGGUAGGGGCUGAUGGGAUGUAAAUGAAACUAAUUAAGGAAAUGUCAAACAUAAUUAAUAAAACAGGUUUAAGUUGCAAAAGCACUGUCAGCUGAAUGAAUGGGGAAGAAUGCUGCAUUCCCAUUGUUUUGGGGCUUGCUUGCUUAUUUAUAUAUUUAUUUAUUUA